AGGGAUAUAACUCAGCGGUAUAGUUUCACCUUGACGCGGUGUAGGUCAUUGGUUCGAGUCUUUUUAUCCCUA
rnacentral:tRNA from 1 species